AACCAAUGAUGAAAAUGAUUCUGCCAUAUGAACCCUGAUUUUACCCUUUACCGUUCCAUUAAUUUCUGAGGUU